rnacentral:rRNA from 1 species
GACGAACGCUGGCGGCGUGCUUAACACAUGCAAGUCGAACGGAAAGGCCCUGCUUGCAGGGUACUCGAGUGGCGAACGGGUGAGUAACACGUGGGUGAUCUGCCCUGCACUUCGGGAUAAGCCUGGGAAACUGGGUCUAAUACCGGAUAGGAGCCAUUUUUAGUGUGAUGGUUGGAAAGUUUUUUCGGUGUAGGAUGGGCUCGGGGCCUAUCAGCUUGUUGGUGGGGUAAUGGCCUACCAAGGCGGCGACGGGUAGCCGGCCUGAGAGGGUGGACGGCCACAUUGGGCCUGAGAUACGGCCCAGACUCCUACGGGAGGCAGGAGUGGGGAAUAUUGCAAAAUGGGCGCAAGCCUGAUGCAGCGACGCCGGGUGGGGGAUGACGGCCUUCGGGUUGUAAACGCCUUUCGCUAGGGACGAAGCUUUUGGGACGGUACCGAGAUAAGAAGCACGGGCUAACUACGU